AUUAAUUUAAUAUAAAAAAAUAGUAUAAAUAAUUUCCAAUUAUAAAGUAAAA
rnacentral:tRNA from 1 species